GACGAACGCUGGCGGCGUGCUUAACACAUGCAAGUCGAGCGGUAAGGCCCUUUCGGGGGUACACGAGCGGCGAACGGGUGAGUAACACGUGGGUGACCUGCCCUCAGCUCUGGGAUAAGCCUGGGAAACUGGGUCUAAUACUGGAUAUGACUCCACGGUGCAUGUCGUGGGGUGGAAAGCCUUGUGCGGCUGAGGAUGGGCCCGCGGCCUAUCAGCUUGUUGGUGGGGUGANGGCCUACCAAGGCGACGACGGGUAGCCGGCCUGAGAGGGCGACCGGCCACACUGGGGACC
rnacentral:rRNA from 1 species